rnacentral:rRNA from 1 species
CGUCUAUAUACGUAUAGCAUAUCAAUAAGCGGAGGAAAAGAAACUAACUAGGAUUCCCUCAGUAACGGCGAGUGAAGCGGGAAGAGCUCAAAUUUGAAAUCUUCAAGGUUCUACCUUGACGAAUUGUAGUUUAAAGAAGUGUUUUCUGUUGGAGUUUUGGUAAAAGUUCUUUGGAAUAGGACAUCAUAGAGGGUGAGAAUCCCGUAUUUGACCAUUAUUUCCAGCUGUGUGAUACACUUUCAAAGAGUCGGAUUGUUUGGGAAUGCAGUCCAAAAUAGGUGGUAAAUUUCAUCUAAAGCUAAAUAUUGGCGAGAGACCGAUAGCGAACAAGUACCGUGAGGGAAAGAUGAAAAGAACUUUGAAAAGAGAGUUAAACAGUACGUGAAAUUGUCAAAAGGGAAGCGUUUGACACCAGUGUUGUUUUCUCGAAAAUCAAUUAAAAAUGAUGGGAUUUUGUGUUGUAUUGACUUUAUCAGCUUUCUGCACUUUUUUCUUAUCUUUUUUAAUGCACUUUUCGUUUAACAAGUCAACAUCAAUUUCUUUUGUUGUAAAAGAGUCAUUGGAAGGUGGCUUUUUCUUCGGAAAAAGUGUUUAUAGCCUUUGGCUUCUGCAAUCGGAGAGAUUGAGGUCUGCAGCGUAGAUCCUUCGGGGUUAGAUACAUUUGUGCUAAGCUAUAGUUCUUUAUAGACAACUUGUUGACUAUAAUCAAUCCUGUAACUUACUCGCUUAUGCUAUUUUACCUACGCUUAGGAUGUUGAUCUGUAGUGCGUGCGC